rnacentral:rRNA from 1 species
UACGGGGGGGGCAAGCGUUGUUCGGAAUUACUGGGCGUAAAGGGCUCGUAGGCGGCCAACUAAGUCAGACGUGAAAUCCCUCGGCUUAACCGGGGAACUGCGUCUGAUACUGGUUGGCUUGAAUCCGGGAGAGGGAUGUGGAAUUCCAGGUGUAGCGGUGAAAUGCGUAGAUAUCUGGAGGAACACCGGAGGCGAAGGCGGCUUGCUGGGCUCGGUCUGACGCUGAGGCGCGAAAGCGUGGGGAGCGAACAGG